rnacentral:ribozyme from 1 species
UGAUAAAUAAAGUGAGGGGAUCAAAGAAUGUCAAUCCUUUUGCAAUAUGUGGGACACAAAGAAGGAGAAGAAGAAAAAUCGUGUUCGUUGUUUCUUUUUAUUUCUUUUUCAUUUGACUUAAAACUUAAAAACAUGUUUGGACGAUAUAAGGGUAGCCGGCAUAAAUAU